rnacentral:rRNA from 1 species
UACAGAGGGGGCAAGCGUUAUUCGGAAUUAUUGGGCGUAAAGGGCGCGUAGGCGGCCUGGCAAGUGGAAGGUGAAAUCCCUCGGCUUAACCGAGGAACUGCCCUCCAAACUGCUUGGCUUGAGACCGGGAGAGGUGAGUGGAAUUCCCAGUGUAGCGGUGAAAUGCGCAGAUAUCAGGAAGAACACCCGUGGCUAAGGCGGCUCUCUAGUACGGUACUGACGCUGAGACGCGAAAGCGUGGGGAGCGAACAGG